rnacentral:rRNA from 1 species
AGUGAACGCUGGCGGUAGGCCUAACACAUGCAAGUCGAACGGCAGCACAGUAAGAGCUUGCUCUUACGGGUGGCGAGUGGCGGACGGGUGAGGAAUACAUCGGAAUCUACUUUUUCGUGGGGGAUAACGUAGGGAAACUUACGCUAAUACCGCAUACGACCUACGGGUGAAAGCAGGGGAUCUUCGGACCCUGCGCGAUUGAAUGAGCCGAUGUCGGAUUAGCUAGUUGGCGGGGUAAGGGCCCACCAAGGCGACGAUCCGUAGCUGGUCUGAGAGGAUGAUCAGCCACACUGGAACUGAGACACGGUCCAGACUCCUACGGGAGGCAGCAGUGGGGAAUAUUGGACAAUGGGCGCAAGCCUGAUCCAGCCAUACCGCGUGGGUGAAGAAGGCCUUCGGGUUGUAAAGCCCUUUUGUUGGGAAAGAAAAGCAGCAGGUUAAUACCCCGCUGUUCUGACGGUACCCAAAGAAUAAGCACCGGCUAACUUCGUG